rnacentral:rRNA from 1 species
AGGACUGGGAUAACUCCGGGAAACCGGGGCUAAUACCGGACGUGCUUGUCCCACGCAAGUGGGCCAAGUAAAGGUAGCUUCGGCCUCCGCCUUGGGAUGGGCCCGCGGCCUAUCAGCUUGUUGGUGAGGUAACGGCUCACCAAGGCUACGACGGGUAGCUGGUCUGAGAGGAUGAUCAGCCACACUGGGACUGAGAUACGGCCCAGACUCCUACGGGAGGCAGCAGUGGGGAAUCUUGCGCAAUGGGCGAAAGCCUGACGCAGCAACGCCGCGUGAGCGAAGAAGGCCUUCGGGUCGUAAAGCUCUGUCAGGGGGAAAGAAGGCACCUGGGUUAAUAGCCCAAGGGCUGACGGUACCCCCAAAGGAAGCCACGGCUAACUACGUGCCAGCAGCCGCGGUAAUACGUAGGUGGCGAGCGUUGUCCGGAAUUAUUGGGCGUAAAGAGCGCGUAGGCGGCUUGUCAGGUCUGAUGUGAAAUCCUGGGGCUUAACCCCAGGCCUGCAUCGGAAACCGGCUUGCUAGAGUCUGGGAGAGGAGAGUGGAAUUCCUGGUGUAGCGGUGAAAUGCGUAGAUAUCAGGAGGAACACCGGUAGCGAAGGCGGCUCUCUGGAACAGUACUGACGCUGAGGCGCGAAAGCUAGGGGAGCAAACAGGAUUAGAUACCCUGGUAGUCCUAGCCGUAAACGAUGGACACUAGGUGUCGGGGGUGUCGACUCCCCCGGUGCCGAAGCUAACGCAUUAAGUGUCCCGCCUGGGGAGUACGGCCGCAAGGCUAAAACUCAAAUGAAUUGACGG